AGCGGUUCUUGGUGACGCACUCCAGAAUUGGUCUCCCUCCUCUCUGGUUCUGGGUGCGUCACCCGAGAACUGCU
rfam:Myotis brandtii contig187467, whole genome shotgun sequence.